rnacentral:lncRNA from 1 species
GGCCAACUUUGGAGGAAAAAAUAGUAUGUCUAUUUUAGAAAAAAAAAACUUAAUGGGUUGGGAGACGAUGUGGGCUUGCAACUAGUUCUCCCACUGUCUGGUGGGUCCCAAUUGGAAAAACACAACAACGAAAAAUCAAUAGUGCUUGUGAAGCGCGAACUCGGGACGAAACAAGUUCGCUUGGAACUGAAUUACCCCUUCUACCAACAACCCACGACAACCGUUUUAUGUGUUUCCAUGUUUCUUUUCUUAUACCUAUUCAUAGUUGCUGCUUUUGUUGUGAGUCCCACUUAUCAUACUAGUGGGCCCCGCAGCAUCCCCAAAUCCCUCUACUGUCUAUUAAUAUUUUUAUUUAUUUAUUUUUUGCAAAAUUGUACAUUGGAGUACUUUCCAUCCACAAAAGUAGUUGUGUUCCUUUAGAAGGGACAACAACCAACAAUUGAAUUACAUGACUGAUAUUAUCAUUAACACCAUUAAUUUAGCUAAAACUUAUUGUUACAUAUAUCGAUCCUAAAAUCUUUCAUCCCCAAAAAUGUGCGUGUGAAACAUUUAUAAAAAGUACAUGAAAUUUCCUCUCUUAGCUAGCAUUACUUGUUGAUUCGCUUUCUUAAGGUGGAUGCACUUGUCUUGGGAUGUCUUACGAGCAUGGCGAGGUGACCCAGGUUGUUUUCACAUAGACAUAGGUAAUACACAAAGUAAUCGGCAAUGCGUCAUCUCCUUUUGACAAGCACAAGCCUUGACAACAGAAAACAUGAUGACAUAUAAGCAAGAACCAAUGGUAAUUUUGUCAGCCAAUUGAGAAGUCCCCAAAUCCCUCAAGUCUGUAUUUAAUUUUUUUUCACCGCCGUUACUUCCACAAAACUUGGCGCAAAUGUUACUUCACAAAAGGAGGUGCAAACUUCACUUCAACAAAGCAGGUAUAUAUAAGUUUCUACUUGAAAGUAUGAUAACUUUCAUGUUGACCUAUUCUUGAAGCAAUUACAUGUAUUCAACAACAACUACGGUUAAUGUUGUUUAUAAACCAAUAUCUGGGGUUACAUACAUUGGUUCUUGAAAGCUUUCGACCUACAAAGUUUUGGCAUAUGUGCACGUGAAAAAUUGAGAAAACAAAUACAAUGAAAUUUCCUCCUAUUGCUUGCACUGCAUAUUUUACUUGCUUAUGGUGAAUCGAUGCAAUUUGUCUGACCAGGCACGGACAUUACCAACACAAAACAUGACUACAUAUUAGGAAGAAUCCAAUAUACCAUUUGUUAGCUGGUUCAAAUGUCCAAAAUCACUCAUCGGUAAUGAGAUAACCAACUUAC